rnacentral:tRNA from 1 species
GGUUUUAAGUUAAAAUUAAACUAUUAAUCUUCAAAAUUACCUAUAAAGAAAUUCUUUAAGCCUUA